rnacentral:lncRNA from 1 species
AAGAUUCAUGAAAAAUCAGUAAUCUUUGUUUUGUUUAUUUCCUAAAUCUCCUACCUCAAGAGGUUUAAACAAUUUUAGCUCUCUAGUUAUGGAUUUUUACUUUCUCAUUGUCUUUCUAUGUUAUCUAUGUUAUCUGAGCUUCUCCAGAUUUUCAUACUUAACAUUCCAGAAUUAGGUUGGGUUUCUGUGGGUUAUCCUUGAAGGUUAAGUUUUUCCUGAAUCAUAUAAUAAAUAACAAAUUUAUUUUGCUGAUAAAAAAAAAAGUCAUAAAAAUUACAAGAAAAUGAAAAAUCUUCAAUUCCCUCCUAGCAUAUCUAUACACAUCAAGGGAUGUUUUCACCAAUGAGUAAUGGUGCUUUAGUGGCUAUUUUACUAUAUUCCACACUUUUUUGCGAGUCAACCUCUUCUCCAUGUGUCUUCUUGCAUUGGUAGUAGAAGAGGGUAUAUGCCACUAACCAAACUGUCCUAACAAGGCAGCUAAUAGAAUUAAUCACUAGAUACCCAAUAAGCAACUUAAAAGGUUCCGUAGGUUGAGGAAUACCAGUCCACCUUAUACAUUGAAUCACGACAGAAAAUAUUAUAGUAAAGACAAGAUUUAGAAGAAACCCAUUUAUCUUCAUGCCCUCAACAAUUUGCGCAGCCUUUCUAAUAGCCUCAAGUCCACAAAUUUCUUCAAGAACAGAAAUCACAAGAGCUAAUGUCCAAACUAUACCCAUCUGGAGAUAUGAAAUUAAGAAAGGAAUUGCAACAAGUAUAGCAUAAAAUGUGUAACUAGUAGUAGUUUUGACACCUAGUGAUAGAGGAAAUAUAAACAAAAAGAACAUGCUAGAAAACCCUACAAUUGUAUAAAACAGAGUAACAAAAGUCCUUUUCCAUGAUCUUAGUGAUUUCAGUAUCAGGUUCUUGAAGGUUAUUGAGUCGUUUGCUUCAUGGAUUACGGCCGAUCCAAGAAUUGUGAGAGUUGAUAAGAAUAAAGAAAAUAUUGAGUUUAUAGCUAGGUAAGUCCAUUGCACUCCGAUGAAAGUUCCUAAAUCUUGUUUCGAAUGAAUAAGAGCAUUAGUGAAUUCCGGUAUAAAAUAAAUAAGAACAUUGGUGAAUUCCGGGCUACCGGGAGUUGAAACAAGAACAAGGUUUUGUUCUUUGAAAGAGUCUCCGAUCAAAAUUUUAAUGGAGAAGAAUUGGACCAAAUAGAGGAGGGAGUUAAGAACCAGAGCGAUUAAGGUGAUGGAAGCCAUUAGCUUCCCAUUUUUGAAGAAGAUUUUCAGGGUUUCUCUUAGUGUUCCCAGAAACUGUAAAAAUAACUCCAUUGGAAUUGAAUUUUGAAACGUUUUGAUAUUUUGAUUGCCUUUUUGUGAUGGAAAGAAUAUAUAUAAUUAAGCUUCUAUACUCGUUUACGCGUUCAUUGAACUAUGUCGUUUUUGAAUUGAAUUGGUCUCCUCCUGUAGUAUUAUUAAUUAGCAAGUUUGAAAUCUAGGGGAUUUUGAUUAGUUUUACUAGCAUUGAGCAUAUGAUGUUACAGGAAGGUUCAUACUAUAUGGAUUCAGGCUAGCUGGAAAUUCCCAACUCCUUAUUAAAUAAGAUAAAAUGAAUUAAAAAAUUAGCAAAUAAUUCAUGAAUGGAAAGCUGAGAACAACUUUGCAAUUAUUAAAAGAAUUAUUACUAGUGAUGAUAGUCAACGUUGGCUAUUGUUACAAGUUAAUUCAUUUUACUUAUUUUUUUUUAGGAUAAUAUAUGAGUGAACGACAACAAGAAAAGAGGGGCCUCCUCUUAUCAAGUUGCUUUCAUAUGUCAAUUGCAAGAUCUGUCGUUUUCUGCUCAACUACAUCAGAGACAAUUGAUUGUGGCCACAAAUCCUUCUUAUCAGACAUGUGGCUAGAUGUGUUUUUUUUUCCUUCUUUUGCCUAGAUUAUUUUAGUUCCACUCUCUUUGAGUAGACAUUGUAUCACUUAAUAUAUCUGAAAUAAUUUUGGUUGUAAAUAAAGAACCUAGUAGGUCGAUAAUCUAGUGCUUAGAUAUAUUAAGUUUUGUUUGAAAAUAAUAAUAAUAAUAAUAGUUCCUCGGUCUCAUAAUUUGUGUGUGUCGGAUUGAUUUGCACAUGUAUUAAGAGAAUUUAAUUAAUAUGAUUAAACUAUAAUUUUUGAUUUAUUUUUUUCCUAGUAUAUCCUUAUGUUAGUAUCUAUAAAAAUUAAAUAAUUCAUAUUAAAUUGUUCUUAAAAUUAAUCAAACAUUUGAUUAAAUAUACUUGUUUUGGAAUAUCAAUGAUUGAUAUGUUAAUUUUGUUUAUAUCAAUAUUAAUUAAUGCUAAUAUAGUAGUUUGAUUAUUAUAGUUGUUGACAAAGAAACAUAUUAGAUAAGGAUAAAAUAGUAAACUUCAAAUAUUAUUUACUUACAAACAAGACAAUAAUAUGGAAGGGAUGAAAAAAGAAAAGUAGAACAAAAUUAUGGACCAAGAGAAUAUGAUUUUUGCUGAUAAUAAAAGAAAGAACUUGUGCCAUUAUGUUUUGAACUAUUAAAAUCUUUGGUUUUCACUUUUUUUUUUUUUUUUAUCAGCAGAAUCUAUUUUAUUAUUGUUAAGAAAUUGCAGGAAAAACUUCAAAAAACUGCAGGAAACUAAUCUCAGAACCGACAGGUUCUACCCCAUAGUCCCAACCUAUAUCUUGCAUUUUUAAAGAAAAACCUGCAGAACAUAGGUAGAGAUUACAGGCUGCUGUCAUUCACGAACAAGACUAAAUGCUGGGAAAACAUCCUACAGGAUAGCUUCGAAAUCUGAUGAUCUGUGAACUCUUCGUUUUGCAAGGGAGUCCGUGAAACUAUUAUCUGAUCUGGGAAUUUUCUGAAAAGUAACUUGCUGCAUUUAAUUGAUGGAUCCCACAAAAUGCAAUUGUGGUGUAAAUACAAAUAAAUCAAAAUCAAAUAAAUACAACAACUAAAAUAAGCAAUUAGAAACGAAAUAUUUUCAAUAUUCAAUUCCGUUGCAUGAAUCAAGGAACAUUUUCACCAAUAAGUAAUGAAGCAUUAGUGGCCAGUUUACUAUAUCCUACAUUAACUUGCAAUUCAACCUCUUCUCCAUGUGUCUUCUUGCAUUGAAAGUAGAAGAGUGUAUAUGCCACUAACCGAACUAUCAUAACAAGGCAGCUAAUAGAAAUAAUCAGUAUACACCCAAAUAUCAACUUGAAACUCGUCAUAGCUUCUGGAAUACCAAUCCAUCUCAUACCUUCAGCCAAAAUGGAAAAUAUUGCAGUGAAGAUAAGAUUUAGAAGAAACCCAUGUAUCUUCAUACCCUUAACAAUUUGUGCAGCCUUUCCAAUUGCUUCAUUUCCACAAAUUUCUUCAAGAACAGAAAUAACAAGAGCUAAUGUCCAAACGACACUCAUGUGGACAUAUAAAAUUGAGGCAGGAAUUGCUAGCAGUAUAAGAAAGACAUAAAAUGUACUUGUCUGGACUAUUAGCGCCAAAGGCAAUACAAUCAAAGAGAAAAGGCAAAAAAAGCCUGAACCUAAAAGAGUUGUGUAAAACCAGGUAACGAGUGGCCUUUUCCAUGAUUUUAAUGAUUUCAAUAGCAAGUUCUUGAAGCUUAU